rnacentral:rRNA from 1 species
AUUGAACGCUGGCGGCAUGCUUUACACAUGCAAGUCGAACGAGUGGCGAACGGGUGAGUAAUAUAUCGGAACGUACCGAGUAAUGGGGAAUAACCAAUCGAACGAUGGGCUAAUACCGCAUAUUAUUCGAGCGGCCGAUAACUGAUUAGUUAGUUGUUGGGGUAAAGGCCUACCAAGGCGACGAUCAGUAGCGGGUCUGGGAGGACGAUUCGCCAAACUGGGACUGAGACACGGCCCAGACUCCUACGUGAGGCAGCAGUGGGGAAUUUUGGACAAUGGGGGAAACCCUGAUCCAGCCAUGCCGCGUGUAUGAAGAAGGCCUUCGGGUUGUAAAGUACUUUUGUCAGGGAAGCGGUACCUAAAGAAUAAGCACCGGCUAACUACGUGCCAGCAGCCGCGGUAAUUC